UGGGGAAUUUUACACAAUGGGCGAAAGCCUGAUGUAGCGACACCGCGUGAGCGAAGAAGCCUUUUGGGGUGUAAAGCUCUGUCAGCAGGGACGAAUAAAUGACGGUACCUGCGGAGGAAGCAUCGGCUAACUACGUGCCAGCAGCCGCGGUAAGACGUAGGAUGCAAGCGUUGUCCGGAUUUAUUGGGCGUAAAGAGUUCGUAGGCGGUUCGUUAAGUCUGAUGUUAAAGACUGGGGCUCAACCCUGGGAGUGCAUUGGAUACUGGCGGACUCGAGUGCAGUAGAGGCAAGCGGAAUUCCAGGUGUAGCGGUGAAAUGCGUAGAUAUCUGGAAGAACACCGGUGGCGCAAGCGGCUUGCUGGGCUGUAACUGACGCUGAGGAACGAAAGCUAGGGUAGCGAAUGGGAUUAGAUACCCCCGUAGUCC
rnacentral:rRNA from 1 species